CUGAUGGAGCCGUAGACUAAAACCUACUUUACCAUAGAACAGUUAUAAUACAAGCAUGGGGAAUGGAAUCUGCCAGGCACUAGCUAUGAAGUGAUGUACCUCUACACUGAUAUAGAGGAACUGCAUCUUGGGGUGAAAGGGUAAUUCAGUGCCCAUGCCCAUUCAGUCCUCACUGUCU
rnacentral:sRNA from 1 species